rnacentral:rRNA from 1 species
UGAACGACUCUCGGCAACGGAUAUCUCGGCUCUCGCAUCGAUGAAGAACGUAGCGAAAUGCGAUACUUGGUGUGAAUUGCANAAUCCCGCGAACCAUCGAGUCUUUGAACGCAAGUUGCGCCCGAAGCCAUUAGGUCGAGGGCACGUCUGCCUGGGCGUCUCAC